CCUGUAUAAAAAUGAGUGGAUGGUACCAAAGGAUGUAUAUAAAAAUAUUUGGUGCAUAUAAAAAUAAAUGUAGAAAAAAUAAUCCGGUAUUGGCUUCAGAGAAAGUUAUUCCAAAUGUCUAUAUAGAAUCCAGUACGGGAUCGAAAGUUAUUGUGAUUGCUGGCACUUGUAGUGCUGCCUGUAAUGAUAUUAUUUCUUCUUAUUUUCCUGUUGGGUGGCAGCGUUCUUGGUGUAUACCAAGGGAUCCUCCUUAUUGUAGGUAAAUGUUGCAACAGGGUAUGUGCUGCCUCUAU